AUAUGCGCAAUCUUGUGUUAUCUCUGUAUUAAGUAUUACGUAAUAUGUCUUCAUAUCUACGUAAAUCUAUUCAAUUGCAACGCCGAGACUUACACAUAAAAAUCUGAUUCGCUGUUCUCUAAAUGUUUGCAGAUUCGUCUUGGCGCACGCGACCUGUUUCUCCCGAUUUACGAGCAAACUACUCGUCGAAUUAAUAAUUUUCGCCACCGCGGGGUUCUCUAGCAAACUCACGAGGUCGUAACCUUACCUGCGCACUAGACAAAGAACGAGUUGAAGAGGCGGUUGUGACGCGAACGGAAGAUAAAGAAAGAAGAAAAGUGAGACGAAACCACAGGGGCAGCUCGUGAUACGUUCGUACUCUUUCUCUUUCGCUCUUUCACGUAACAGAGCGUCGCCCAAUAAAAAUGUCACGAAUUCAGGGGCGAAGAGUUUCUUAGUGAACACCGUCUGGUGGCGCCAGAGUACACCACGUUCCCGAUCCACAGGGAGUUGCGUAAAGCUCACUGGCUCGCUGUCACACGCAAGGAGUCAGCGAAUGGUGGGGAGACUAUGGGACGAGACGAUAUCGCGCGCACACACAGACAGAGACGCGGCGAAAUCAAAUCGACGCCAGCGCGCUUCGAAGGAAGGGCGAGAAAGCGGCAGGACUAAGCGUCGAGAAAAGCAGAGAGAAUAUCACGAGAAGAUAGUCAAAGAGAGAAGGAAGUAAAUGGAGACUAAGAGAGGGAAAGAGAGUCCUGCGGGAGAAUGAGAGAGAAGGAUAGAAUAGAGACCGUAGGGUGGAUGAAGAAAACGUAAAUGAUAGACGGAGUGCGAGGCUAAACAGAGAAGGGUUGAUCGAGCCUGAUAAGAACGAAAAAGAUGGAACAAUCCCGAGAGAAGCAGAAGGUGACAGAGGAAACAGAGACAAUGAACGUGAAAGAGAAAGAGGCAAAUGCAGAGAAAGAGAGAAAUGAAUAGGGUGGGCGUGAGAGAGAAAGGGAAGUUGCUGCUCGGAAGCAAUGGGAAAGACAAAGAACGGAAGCGUGGCAAGAGGGAGGAAGGAAGGUAGAGAGUGAGAAAGGGGAAGAGAGACGGAACAAGAGGGGUUGGUCGACCCUGCGCGUUAUCAAGAGCCGCCCCUCCCGGUCGCCCCUAUAUCCACCCCGACUUUAUAUACCCCCCGUGCAUCCAAAGAGUACAUGCAUUCGUGUGUGCGGUGGUGAAAACCCACACAACGUUGACGUGGCUCGUCCCUAGACGUAGCCGGGCGCAGAGCGACGCCGCAUGGCGUCGGCGUCGCGAGGUCGUCCCCGGCGCUAAACACUCUAACGAUGGCAUCGUCGGCCAACCGCCGCCAGAGGAAGCCGCUUCUCCGUGGCUCGUAACACGUUCUCCUGGACGACCGGGACGCCUGGACGGAUCGGAGCACCCGAAGGACUGGGCACGAAGAGACCCGACACCCGCGAGUGACGUGCAACGCCGGAGCGCCGCGACGCCGACAGUCGUCCGCGGGACGCGUCGCGGUCGUCUCGCUGGAGACCGAAGGCGUCUAUUCCAGCGGCAUCAGCCUCCAGUUGGCGUCUGACGUAUGAACGGCACACGUCUCUAAAUCAUCCCGUCACAUCUUCCUGCGUCGACAUUUCUUCAUUUUUUUUUUUUCACUCCUCAGCCGUGCGCAUUCUUUCCCAUUCUAUCCGUUCCUCGUUCUCUACGCCUCCCCCAUUUUCGUCUCGUCUCGACUCGUCCGUUCUCGAGUCCAUCUCUCUUUCUCCUCGAUUGCAUCGAGCGCUCUGUCCUUCGCAUCGAGCCACGACUCAGCGAAUCGGCGAACGAAACGGACGGAGCGCAUCCACCGUGAACGUCACUCGUAGCAUGUAGACCGAGCGGAGCUGUCAUUCGUAUGUCGCGGGAUCGGAGUGCCUUCUGUGAUUGACAAUCCCGAAUGGCCCCUUCGGACUCCUUAGUGUGCGGUGCUUGACAUAUAUCGGAAAAGGAUCCUACGUCAGAUUUCACAUAUCGGUUGAUUUCAGUUGGCGAUGCUCGAACAGGAGAUCUACGUGACGAUGAUGCCUCAAAAAUUAAUCCGGUCGCAAAUAGAGAGACCCAGACCCAGGGAUGGAAACGUAACAAAUAAUAACACGAGGUCAGUAUACUUACAUAUUUUUUGUUCCGUAGUCUAAAAAUAAUUUUCACACUUAUUGCGACGAUUACGCAUAGACAUAUGCUAUCGGUUAGACGUAUAUUGAUCGAUUGUCACGCGAACUGACUUACAUUUCGGUAGAAGAUUUCCGCAAUGGCCCAAACAGCAGGCAACCAGUCUGACACCUCGGCACGCUGGGUUUCCAAACUCAACGGGCUUUCGAGAUGGUUUCGUAGUGGGUCGCAGGACGACGAGAUCGUUUUAUGACCGAUUAGUCACCUCUAUUAGUUUUUUCACUUUUUUUUUUCUUUUCACGUAGGAUCCUUUCAGGAACGCAUUGAAUAAAUCUUCGUUCAAUCUUCGAUCUAUCAUUCUCGCGGAAUUCUGGGGCUAAAACUUUAGGUUAUCCACCCUGGCCAUCCAAUGUUCACUAAUAACUCGUGUAUUAUUUAUGUGUAUCCGUAGGCAAACUCAAGACGGCCAUGAAAAGCGAAGCGCGUGUGGAUUUCAACCGUGUAUUAAGCAAUCAUUUCAAUUGGAUUGCCACAAGACCACUUGCGUGCCGCACAAGUCAACAACAUUUAAUAAGCGUCUCGCUCUACAUCCAACUUGAAUUAGGCUUCUCUAGCAAUCGGCGGGAUUGUUUGCGGAAUGGAAGAUAUUAAUGAUCGAGACUGUCUGUCGCUUCAUGCCAGUAAUUCCAGAAGAUAUAAAUGUUAGUCUACUCUACGCAAUGCCAGACUGCCGUCGAUCUUAUCAAGCUCUGCAUCCUUGGCAGGGGCAGCCACCGGCGAGGCGUUAUCCGAUGAGGAAUGUGAAACCCCCUGUACGUAUACUGAAUGUAUCCUGAGUGUAUUCCUGUCCGGUAUACCUUCAGUAUACGUAACAGGAGGCUACACCGUACAACGUUGGACUUCUUCAUCGACGCAGUUCUCCAUUUAUGAAUAAUCUUCGUGCUAUAAAAUAUAUAACACCUUAAGAAGAUAGAGAGAAUAACAAAAAUAGGAACACUUAGAAUAGUAAGGUAUUUCAUUUACCUAAAAUAUCGCAAUCCUUGAACAUAGUUGUUUGUUUGAUGCGUUUAUAUACUGACAUUCGUACAUUUAGUAAUUGUAUAAAGUGUACUCAAUAAAAAGUUAUGCAUAUAAUUAUAACAA
rnacentral:lncRNA from 1 species